rnacentral:rRNA from 1 species
UACGUAGGGUGCAAGCGUUAAUCGGAAUUACUGGGCGUAAAGCGUGCGCAGGCGGUUAUGCAAGACAGAUGUGAAAUCCCCGGGCUUAACCUGGGAACCGCAUUUGUGACUGCAUAGCUGGAGUACGGCAGAGGGGGAUGGAAUUCCGCGUAUAGCAGUGAAAUGCGUAGAUAUGCGGAGGAACACCGAUGGCGAAGGCAGUCCCCUGGGCCUGUACUGACGCUCAUGCACGAAAGCGUGGGGAGCAAACAGG